GCGAGGGCGGCGGCGCUGCCCGCGGGAAGGGGCUGCGGCGGCGGCGGGAGCCGCGUCCCGCUGCCACCCGCCUGCCGGGGCCGCGGGAGAAGCGCCGCGACCCUUCGCCUCCGCUCGCCUCUUUAUGGAAACUCCCCAGAAGCCCCAUGCGAGUGGUGCCUAUUGUUUCCAUGAGCGGAGCCUCCUCUCAGUAAGUCCCUGGUUUUUGUCUUGCCUGUUGAUUUUCCCACAUCUCUCCUGAGCUCCCACAAUUCAUGCAGAACUCCUUGGGACUCU
rnacentral:lncRNA from 1 species